rnacentral:rRNA from 1 species
GGGCCCGCACAAGCGGUGGAGCAUGUGGUUUAAUUCGAUGAUACGCGAGGAACCUUACCAGGGCUUAAAUGUAGUGGGACAGGUCUAGAGAUAGACCCUUCUUCGGACUCAUUACAAGGUGCUGCAUGGUUGUCGUCAGCUCGUGCCGUGAGGUGUCAGGUUAAGUCCUAUAACGAGCGCAACCCCUAUCGUUAGUUGCCAGCGAGUAAUGUCGGGAACUCUAACGAAACUGCCAGUGCAAACUGUGAGGAAGGUGGGGAUGACGUCAAAUCAUCACGGCCCUUACGUCCUGGGCUACACACGUGCUACAAUGGCCGGUACAGAGAGCAGCCAUACUGCGGUGAAUACGUUCCCGGGCCUUGUACACACCGCCCGUCACACCAUGGAAGCUGGCUAUGCCCAAAGUCGUUACUCCAACCGU